rnacentral:ncRNA from 2 species
UGUAUAGUCAUUUUAAAGUGCGUGCGUG